rnacentral:rRNA from 1 species
AUGGCCGUCGGCGAGGAGGUCAAGCUCUCCAUCUCCGGCGCCGCCCUCGCGGCGCUCCUCCACCGCUGCGGGGCCGCCGCGGGUGACUGCGACGGCCUCCUCUUCGGCCGCGCCCACCGCCCCCCUCCGCCGGCUCCCACCCUCUCCGACUACGACGACCAAGCCCCCGCCGCCCCGUGCCUUUUCAUCUCAAUCUCCGGCCACUCCUCCCUCUCCCACCCCUGCUCCCUCUCAGAUCCCCUCGGCCGCCCCAACCCGCCGCCACCCUCCUCCCCUUGCCCCCUCGGCUUCUUCUCGUCCCGCCGGCGCACCCCUCUCCGCGCCUCCAUGCGCGAGCACGCCCUCGCGUGCUCCCUGUCCAAAACCCUAUCGCCCCUCACCCACCCGCUCCUCUUCAUCCUUGUCUCCCCCUCCGCUUCCGACGACCUCUCCACCCACUCCUUCGACUACCGCGCUUUCCUCCUCGUCGGAUCCCGCCUCGUCCCGACCUCGCUCACCGUCGUCAACGUCGGCCCCGGCUUCCGGGACCAGUACCACUCCUUCGCCCCGGAGUCGCCCUUCCCGUUGCUGACGACUCAGCCGCCGCCGGCGGCGCCCCAAGCAGAGGAUGCUUACAGCAUUGGGGAGCAGAAGGCCGUCGAUGCGAUGGUGGACGGGUUUGGGCUGGGGAGGCUGCAAGGGCUCGUCUGCGCUGCAGCUGGGCAGGCGGCGGAGAUGGAUAGCAUGUAUGCCGGGAUGCUCCAUAGGAUGGAGAAGCUCGCAAGGGAGGUGGAGAAGAGCAAUCACCGCGUGCUCGACCAGGAAAAGCGGAACCUGGUGCUGAGGUACAAGACAGCGGGACUGCAACUGCAAUAA